GGCUUUUUUAUUAGCGACCAAAAGUUGCACACUUUAUUGUCGAUGUUCUCUACUAAAUCCUUUCAGCAAAAAUAUGGCAAUAUCGCGAAAUGAUCAAUUAUGACACAUAGAAUGGACCUGCUAUCCCCGUUUAAAUAAGACAAUCUCAUUUAAGUAGGCCUUUGAAGAAGUUGGCCAUAAAUUAUUGCAUUUUCACUGGUUUUAUAGGACCAUAAAUGUCUUAAUAUUUAUCAAAUGAUUAAUAUAUCACAAGUCAUGAAUCAUAUUUACAAGACAUCUAAUAAUAUAUUUGAUGCACAUACCUACAUGAAACAAAACACAUUUAGAAAUUGUGUACGUGGAACUUUGAUCUCCAAUUAGUUGUUGAAAAAAAAAGUAGAUCCUCCUGAGUUGGAGAAGUACUUCAUCAAGGAGGGCGUGUCUUUGACUUGAAAGAGGUCUUUGUAACGGACAUGUCAGAAUCAAAUAAAAGUCCGCAUUUCAAGAGCAAUCCAGUCAGAACUUAGUUGGGAUCCAAAUCGAGCAGAAGCUUAAGUUCAACAUCGUCACUUUUUCAACAAUGAUGGCUUUUCCAUCCAUCAGGUAAGACAACUUUUCACAUUACUCUUGAUUCAAUCACGCCCAAGUGUAAGUAUUUUAAAUGCAAAGAAAACUUAAUUUGCACGCUAUUUCUACUUCACUUGAUGAAGCGAUGAAGUUAAACUUUGAAACUUUAAACAGGUACAACUUGCUUGAUUGAUGCCUUAAGAAUCAGGUGUGCACUAAUUACAAAAUAUAAAGUCUGGAACCUUCCCAAUUGCACUUGAAGAUAAGUUGUUUUAAAUGGUGACCAUAACAAACAUUAUUCGACACCGUCGACUUUUGUGCAACAAUUGUAUUGUUGUCGCUAAGUUUACGAACCUUAAAACGAGCAUUUUAAACUAACUCAUCAUGCUAGAAAAGCUAGCGUGCUAACUGCUUUAACUUCAGUCGGUAACGAACUUAACGGAGGUUAGGAAACGGCUUUUUGUUCUAAUUGAGCCAGUGUUAUAAUAUAAAGCACUAUCAACAUUAAUUCAGUGGUAAAAUAACUACAUAACCUGUUGUCGUUGACAGGCGGGGGGAGAGCUCCAUCUUGUGUGCGUUGUGGUGGUGAUGAGGGCUAGAAUGAUCCCAGUGUCUAUAGUGGUGAUAUCAGGGCUACAUCAAUAUCGCAUUUAAAUUAGCGUAAAAGGAUCGAUAUUUUUUUGUGCUUUUCAAUUGUCUUUUUUUACACAUACAUUACAUAUAUGUAACGGUGUAGAAAACAGAAUAUCCUUAUGCUUGAUUAAAUUAUGAAUGAAGUGUUGCAACAGCGCCUGUUGCUGGCGACAAGUGGUAUCUACGGUUACCUGUGGGAAGUGCUCAGAACUGUGACGCCUGCAAACUGGUGAGACACGUUAUUGUAUUGUCCGGGAUUGAUUACUAAUUAGUGAAUAUUGACUGUUUAUAUUUUGAUUAGUACUUUGUAACAGACACAUAAAAAGGUUCGCUAAUUGGUAUUGACCAAAACUGUAUCCUGGAGUGAUAUUUUAAAGACAAUAACACACUUUUGCUGUGUAAACUAAUUGGUGAUUUUUGUGUUAUUUAGAGAAUCCAGUGACCCAAGUGGACUCACAGUCUCACAAUUUGCACUGUUUUGCAGGGCUCCUUUCAAGCAUGACAUUCGGGAGAAGAUGCUUAUGAGGCAGUUUGUGCUCAUGAAACAGAGGAAUGAAGUUCCCAGGCAUAUCUCGGUGCAUCACAUGAAGCAAUGGCGCCUGGC